CACCCCAAAAUGUGUAGAAUUGCAGCAAACUUGCUUUAAAACGGCAAGAUUUUCUCUACACCCCAUGGCAAAAUGCAGCUCCUACCUGGCUGCCACUGAUCACACCCCGACAGCUCCUACCUGGCUGCCACUGCUCACACCCCGACAGCUCCUACCUGGCUGCCACUGCUCACACCCCGACAGCUCCUACCUGGCUGCCACUGAUCACACCCUGACAGCUCCUACCUGGCUGCCACUGCUCACACCCCGACUGUAUUUCAGCUUGUACAUGACUCACCUAAUCAAAUCAAAUUUGAUUUGUCACAUGCGCCAAAUACAACAAUCCCUUAAACAACAAUGUGUUAAGAAAAAAAAAAGUGUUAAGUAAAUAAUAGAUAAAAUAUAUAUAUAUAUAUAUAUUUAAAGUAACAAAUAAUUAAACAGCAGCAGUAAAGUAACAAUAGUCAGGCUAUAUACAGGGUAUUACGGUACAGAGUCAAUGUGGAGGCUAUAUACAGGGUAUUACGGUACAGAGUCAAUGUGGAGGCUAUAUACAGGGGGUACCAGUACAGAGUCAAAGUGGAGGCUAUAUACAGGGGGUACUGGUACAGAGUCAAUGUGGAGACUAUAUACAGGGUGUACCGGUACAGAGUCAGUGUGGAGGCUAUAUACAGGGUAUUACGGUACAGAGUCAAUGUGGAGGCUAUAUACAGGGUAUUACGGUAAAGAGUCAAUGUGGAGGUUGUAUAUAGGGGGUACCGGUACAGAGUCAAUGUGGAGGGGUGCCGGUUAGUUGAGGUAAUAUCUACAUGUAGGUAGAGUUAAAGUGACUAUGUAUAGAUAACAAACACACACAGAGAGAGAGAGAGAGAGAGAGACAGAGAGAGAGACAGAGACAGAGACAGAGACAGAGAGAGAGAGAGAGAUGGGUAAACCACUUCUCCAAUCUUGUUGGCUCUAUAACAAAGAAUAAAGAGCAAAAACAUAUACAUGAUCAAAUACAGAUCUUAGAAUCAACUAUUAAAGACUACCAGAACCCACUGGAUUCUCCAAUUACCUUGAAUGAGUUACAGGACAAAAUAAAAACCCUCCAACCCAAAAAGGCCUGUGGUGUUGAUGGUAUCCUCAAUGAAAUUAUCAAAUAUACAGACAACAAAUUCCAAUUGGCUAUACUAAAACUCAUUAACAUCAUCCUUAGCUCUGGCAUCUUCCCCAAAAUUUGGAACCAAGGACUGAUCACCCCAAUCCACAAAAGUGGAGACAAAUUUGACACCCCAAUAACUACCGUGGAAUAUGUGUCAACAGUAACCUUGGGAAAAUCCUCUGCAUUAUCAUUAACAGCAAACUUGUACAUUUCCUCAAUGAAAACAAUGUACUGAGCAAAUGUCAAAUUGGCUUUUCACCAAAUUACCGUACAACAGACCAUGUAUUCACCCUGCACACCCUAAUCGACAACCAAACAAACCAAAACAAAGGCAAAGUCUUCUCAUGCUUUGUUGAUUUCAAAAAAGCAUUCGACAUUAUAAAAUCCAUGUACACAAACAACAAGUGUGCGGUUAAAAUUGGCAAAAAACACACACAUUUCUUCACACAGGGUCGUGGGGUGAGACAGGGAUGCAGCUUAAGCCCCACCCUCUUCAACAUAUAUAUCAACGAAUUGGCACUAGAAAGGUCUGCAGCACCCGGCCUCCCCCUGUAAGAAUCCGAAGU
rnacentral:lncRNA from 13 species